rnacentral:lncRNA from 1 species
UUUUUUUUUUUUUUUAAUGUAGUCUUUUCAAGUUGCAGAUUAUGUUGUUUUUGUAUCGUAAUCCAAUAAAGAAAACUAAUUUAGUUGCUUCCGAAAAAUAAAAAAAAAAGGGAAAAAAAAAAAACAACAACUCGACAGCAAUAGCCUAAGUUUAUAGGAUUGAUUGACCGAUUAAAAUAAUAACACAAUUACAUAUACUAUAUGCUUGAUUGACCGACUAAAACAAAGAUGCUAAAUACAUGUAUAUAUAAUAUACAGGUCAAUGGGUAGGGUUUGGAUUGGAUCACUUUGAUCCAAAUUUAGAACCAUUAAAUCUAAUUAGAUCCAGACCGAAACCCAGACUCAUACCCUUAUGGGUUUGAAAAAAUAAGUCCAAAUCCAGAUUCUCUUGAAUUUGGAUAUUCAAUGGAUAUCCGUUGUAUUUUUGUAAACACACUAAAUAAAAAUGUAUUAAAAAUACAUACAUUUUAAAAAAUAUAAACACCAUCCAGUUUUUAUUUUCAAAUAAUAAAUUUAAUAUUCAAGAAGUUGAAUGCAAUAUUAUGAACUAAAAAAAUAACUACUAUCGACUGCUUCUAUUUAUUUUUAAAACUUUAACUGUAUCUACGUCAAAUCUUUCAUUUAUUUGCCUUUACUUUUUCUCCUUUUUCUGAAAAAGUUUGUACUAAUUACAAUGACAAUUAGAAUUAGGAUUAAAAACGAAAACAAUCAUGAAGUCUUACUGUAUUCGAUCCAAUAACCAUAGAAUAUUAUAAUAUUUUAUAAAUUUACUAAUAUAUAUACAUACACACACACACAUAUAUAAUUUAAUUAUAUAUACAUGGGUCUGGGUAGGAUCUAGUAUAGAUUUGUAUUUGAACAUGGAUCAUAAAAAAUUAGACCCUACUUAGACCCAUAACUCUUUUAUAAGGAUGGCAAUCGGAUAAAAAAUAGAUUGACGGAUCAGAUCAAGACCUGGGUAUAAUAAAAGACCCGCUGAUUUGAACACGACCCGCCAACCCACAGUGAAUCAACAUAUUUGACCUGAAUACGAAAUUUUCAAAUUCAACUGAUUCGAUAUGACCCGAAAUAUAAUUUCAAUUUACUAAUCUACCGCUGUAAUUUCUAAUAGAACUAAUUCCACACAAAACUAAUUACAUAAUCAAAUAAUAAAUACCCUAAUAAAACAAUCCCAAGUUAGAUCUAGAGUAAAUAAAGACACCAUAAGAAUAGAAAAUAAUGUAAUAUUUCAUUUGUCCAAACAUAACAACUCCAACUUCACACAAGCCAAACAAAUUCAAUUAGAACAAUUAGACAAACGGCUACUAGCCAAAUACAAGUUUAAAGUCAAUACAUUACAAUGCACAUGAAACAGAUAAAAAUACCUGUUUAGAUAAUUUUUUUAUAUUUAUUAACUUAUUUUUAUUUACUCAACGGGUCAACCUGUUUCUGAUUUGAAUUUGACUUGUUUUUUUUUCAGGCUCAUUAGGUUCAACCCGAUUUUGACUCGAACUCAGAAAACCUAAACCCAAACCCAUUAAUUUCGUGUUAGAUGUGUUCUAUUUUCAAAUCAUGUAAAAAAUUGUUACCCCUGCUCUUUUACAGAGUUUGGGUCUAAGUAGGGGAAAAUGCCGGUUUUCAUCCCCAAACUUUGGGGUAAGGACACAUUUCGUCCCUCAACUUUUGGGCACGACACAUUUGAUGUUUGAAUUAACAAUUUUUGACUAAUGUCAUCCUCAAACGGCAAUUUAGCCAAUUUUUAACGGAACUGGUCAUGUGAAAAUCACAUGACCGUUAAGUAAAUUUAAAUCACAUUUUUAACAAAACCUGCCAGUUUCCUGCAUGCAAUCAGUCAACUUUUGGCAAUUUUGACUAAGCAUCCAUCAAUAAACACUUGCGUCCCGUACAUAAGGGGGGAAAAAAGCUAAAAAUAAGGAUAAAAUGAAAAAUAGGCAUGAAAAGAAAUAACCAGCAUGAAAAAUGAAAAGGGAUAAUUUCACAAACAUCCCUUGAGAUUUUUAAUAGUUACAAAAAGCUCCCCUCAAAAUUUAAAAAUUACAUAUACUUUGCAUACUUUUACUAUUUAUAUAAGAGCAAAUUAUUUGAGUAGCCAUUGAACUAUUUGAAUAGUAAAAAUUUGGCCCUUCAAUUAUUCAUAACAUAUUUUUACCCAUUGAACUAUUAAAAGUAUAAACUUUGAAUUAUUCAUAACAUAUUUUUACCCAUUGAACUAGUAUGUUUUGUAUUUAACAUAAAUUAAAUAUGUGAAAGUUAAAAAAAAAUAAUAAAUUGUCCAUAACAUACCAGCUCUUUAUGGGAAACUGGCAGGUUUUGUAGUAUGUUUUGUACCAGCUCUUUAUGGGAAACAUACCAACUCUUUAUAGGAAAAAUUGGUUAAAUAGCGCCCAAAUAAAAACUAGUAUGUUUUGUAUUUAACAUAAAUUAAAUAUGUGAAAGUUUAAAAAAAAAAUAAAUUGCCCAUAACAUACCAGCUCUUUAUGGGAAACUGGCAGGUUUUGUAGUAUGUUUUGUACCAGCUCUUUAUGGGAAACAUACCAGCUCUUUAUAGGAAAAAUUGGUUAAAUAGCGCCUAAAGGAAAACUAGUAUGUUUUAUAUUUAACAUAAAUUAAAUAUGUGAAAGUUAAAAAAAAAAUAAAUUGCCCAUAACAUACCAGCUCUUUAUGGGAAAUUGGCAGGUUUUGUAGUAUGUUUUGUACCAGCUCUUUAUGGGAAACAUACCAGCACUUUAUAGGAAAAAUUGGUUAAAUAGCGCCCAAAGGAAAACUAGUAUGUUUUGUAUUUAACAUAAAUUAAAUAUGUGAAAGUUAAAAAAAAAUAAUAAAUUGCUCAUAACAUACCAGCUCUUUAUGAGAAAUUGACAGGUUUUGUUAAAAAUGUGAUUUAAGUUUACUUAACGGUCAUGUGAUUUUCACGUGAACAGUUUCGUUAAAAAUUGGCUAAAUUGCCGUUUGAGAAUGACAUUGGUAAAAAAUUAUUAAUUCAGACAUCAAAUGUGUCGUGCCCAAAAGUUGAGGGACGAAAUGUGUCCUUACUUCAAAGUUUGGGAUGAAAACCGGCAUUUUCCCGUCUAAGUAGGGUUUAGAUUUGAGAAAUUAAAUCCAAAGUACAUUGGAUCUGGGUAAGACCCAAUCCAUUAAUAUACCUAAUGUAUAUUCCUCUGGGAUGUUUAAAACAGAACUGGAUUCGGAUGCAAAAAGGUCGUCUUAAUUUUUUUCCUUUAGUUUUCAAAGUCGUUUACAAAAAGCGCCUGCCUUCCAAAUCCUGAUCGACGUUGUCUACCAACCUCCUCUCUUAAAACUUUUUUUUUUUUUCAAGAAUUAGUGGUUUGAUAAAAUACCCUUUUGCGUUUCUCAAUCCCAAUUUUCCUCGGUUGUUUUAGCAAUUUCUAAUCUUGCUGAAACCAACAAUGGAGAAGACGGCAAAGAAGGCACAGGCAGAAGGCAGCGAAGAUGAUGGCAUAUCAAAAUUACCAGAAGAUAUUAUGCAAUACAUACUUUCAAAUUUCCUAACACCAAAAGAAGCAGCCCAAACAAGGCUAUUGUCCAAGGCAUGGCGGAGUGCGUGGCAUACAUCCCCAGUUGUGUGUUUUUGCGAACCAAACUUCGGUAAGAGCUCCAAUCCUGAAUUUUGCAGAGCCAUGUUCUUGAAUUUUGUGAAUAAGGUCUUGCUGAAUUAUCGUGAGCAUAACCAUAGGAUACAAACUUUCAAGCUUCAGAUGAUAUUUAACACUGAGUCCGCUCAACUUGUUGAUGAAUGGAUGAAGAUUGCUCUAGAGAAAGGAUUGAGAAAACUUGAGCUCAGAACUUAUGAGAAGUCAUAUAUUUUACCUAGUAUAACCCUUGAAUCUAGAUCCCUUGAAGAAUUGGUUCUAUACAACUGCAAGUUUGAGCAGAAGCAAGUAAUAAAACAUAUAAUGUGUCAAAGUCUUAGAAGACUAGAUCUUGAAAAUGUGUUUUUAGUUGAUGAAGUAUUGGAGAAUAUCAUCUUAAACUGUAGGUUGAUUGAAAAUUUGAAAAUUCAUCACUGUGACGGCUUGAGAAACAUUACAGUAAAAGACCUCAAAAAACUCAAAGAAUUUUCUGUUAUCUAUGAUGGGGAACAGAAUGUUCAAGUUUAUUCACCAAAUUUAGAAUCCUUUACUUGUCAGAGAGGUUCAUGGUAUUGUCAGUCAAUCCGAGGGAGGCUUAGGUUGUUCGCAGCUCAAAAUUUGAAACUCCUAGUAUUAAAUGGUAUUUGCAUCACUGACGAGUUUUUCUUGGGCCUUGGAAACGUGUUUCCGCACAUUGAAGAAUUGAAAGUCAGCAAUUCUGAUGAUACACAUAGGAUCAAGAUAUCUAGUCAGUCCCUCAGGAAGUUGGAGUUGAUUCGUAACGAGAAAUUAGAGGAGGUGCAAGUUGAUGCUCCAAAGAUUGUUCAGUUUGUAUACAUGGGCAGCAGCAUUCCCCGUGUAUCUAUCACCAGUGCUCCCUUAAGUCAUUUGGAAUCAAGAAUUGGAGUAAAUUGCAACAACAACGUGAACAAUUCCUGGUUCUUUAAACUAAAGGAGAUGUUAACCAACUUGGGACAAUCAAAAGUUUUUCUGGGGAUAUCUGUUCGUGCAGAUGUAACAGUUAAUCUUAAUGAGAUUAGAGAUGGUCCAACCAAUCCUACACCUGAAAUUGAAGAAUUAUCUGUAGAAGUUGUUUCGUAUUGUGCAUCUAAACAGACUACUGCUGCAGCACUGCUAGAUGCAUGUUUUUGGAGCUUUCGUCCUAAAAUCAUACUCCAGGAGUGGUGUUUUCGUGGAACAAUUUACUUCACACAGUUCCUCCUCGAGCUGUUGAUGAUUAGCAGAAAUCAAGACCAUCUGAAUUUGUUGGAAACCACGUUUUGGCUGAAAAAUCUAAAAGAUGUCAAAGUUGUUGUGAUGAAGAGGUCUGGGCUAAACGAUGAGUGGCAGCCUGAGCUUUCAGACUGGAAGCCCCUACUUUAUUCAUGUGACGAUGGUGGUUUCAACACAGCAGUUCAUUUCAAUUUAGAAUGGUGGUGAAAAUAUAUACAGUUUGGACUCGAUUAGGAUUCCGGGUUUUAUGUGAUUAGUAAGUUUAGAUUACGUUUUUCACUCUAGCAAUCUAGUCAGUCUAUCAGGAAAAUACAGUUGAUUGAUAACGAGAAAUUAGAGGAAUUGUCCAAAUGUUAUUGUGCUUGAAUACACAGGCUCGAGCAUCCCGCAUGUAAUUUUUACCCUUCUCUCAAGUCCUUGGGAAUUUAGAAUUGGUCUAAAUUGUCAUAAUGCGAUCGACAAUCCAUGGUUGUUUAAAUUAAAGGAGAUGUUAACAAGCUUGAGGAACUCAAAAAUUUUUUCUGGGGAUUACUUGUUGUGCAUCUGCAAAAGUUGAUCUCGAUGAGAUUAAAGAUGGUCCAAUGGAUCCUAGACUUGAAAUUGAAGAGUUAUCUAUAAAAUUUUCUCAACGGCAAGGACGGAAGGUUUCUGCAGCUUUUCUAGAUGGAUGGAUGCGGUGCUUUUGUCCUCAAAUCAUACAACAGGAGUGGUGUUUUCUUGGAACUAUUCACUUCACACAGUUCCUCCUCGAGUUUCUGAUGAUCAGAAGAAAUCAAGACCAUCUGAAUUUGCAGGAAACUAAAAAGCUUUGGCUGGAAGAUGUCAAAGUUGCAAUCUUGAAGAAGAGUAUAUUAGAUGAUGAGUGGCAGCCUGAACUUUUGGACUGGAAGACUUUGCUGCAUUCCCACGACUCUGGUGAUUUCCACACAGCAAUUCGCUUUGAUUUAGAAUGGCGGUGAAAAUCUUUGCAGUUGGAACUGGUGCUAAUGCAAUUCAGGGCUUACCUGAUUAGGAGAUGUAAACUAAUAUGUUAUCCUUUAGCUAUCUGCAGUGGGAUGAACUUUUUCUUGGAACGAACAUUUUCUAUGGUAUGAUCUUUUUUGUUCAGCCUUUUCUGUCUAGAUUCUAAUUUCCUUAAAGGACAUUGAAGAUUUCAGGUUUCAUGACAGUUAUACUGAUGGAAUGCUGGGAUUAGUCAGUCCCGUAAGCUUUACUAGAUGGGAAUUCAUCUUUGGACAAUGGUUAUUGACCUUUUGCCUAUCCCCUGUUUCCCCUGUUUCAUCUUAGUCGUAAUUGUUUUAUUCUAACAUGUUACCUAAAUUGCAUCUUAGACCAUUUUCAUUGAUUCGCUAAUGAUUCUACUUUCCUAAAAGAUGCAAAUUUAAUUGCUUGGAAAAUUAUUUGCUUACUCAAAAGAAUUGUAAACAUUAGAAUAAAAAUACCUUGUGGUGUUUCUUCUUUCCAAUAUCCAUUCCUUAGCUGUAAUUUUUUUUGGUUAGGAAUUUUUUUUGAAAGUCUAAUCUUAAUCACACUUAGACAGGCAAUGAAUAUAUCAAAGCAAGCAACAAAUAUAUGCAUUAAACACCAGCAACCUUUUUGCAUGUUUUUAGGAGCUGUGUACAAAACCAUGGGAAAACUCUGGCCAGCUGAAGUUACGAAAUUUUGCACUAACAAUACCAAAAAAAAAAAAAAAAAGUGUCAGACAUUGAGGUUGAACAGGUUGAUUAUUUCAGAGUGAUACAUAGAUUAUAGCUAUUUAGAGAGUCAGAAUUAACUAACAAAAUUGAUCUAGUAUUCAUAAUUCUCGCUCAUAAAACUUGCAAUUGUAGUUUAACAUUGACUUAAAUACCGAAGCAAAAGACUUGCGAGAAAGACAUUUUCAAUCUUGUCCACUAUUUGAAUGUGCUUAUAAAUUAAGGAUUUGGGGCAGGGACGGUCAUACGGAUGACCGUCCCUGCACGGUUCAUGGUCCAGAUUGGACCUCAAAAAAAUGUGCGGCUCAGAUAAUAAGUGGUAACUCGAUUUCCGCGCCAAGUGUGGGGCCCACCACUAUCUGUUGUGAAAAUACAACCUGUGGAAAAAAAGUUACACGCUGAACAAAAGAAGUUACGCGCUGUUGAUGAAGAGGAAAUUUGUCAGGGACCUGCCCCGAGUCCAUAAAUUAACUUCCCAGCAAUCAGACCUGAGUUCUGCAUUGGGAACUCCACCAACUUUUGACUGUUUAAUUAUUGGGCAAAAGAAAUAUAUUAUCUCCAUUUUGAUGAACCAAGUUGUUACAUUAUCAGGGACAUUGUCUACUAGCAAGCAAGAUAUAUAAUCUCAUCCUCAAAAGUGUAGGCAUUGCAUCAAAAAGAACUUAUGGGUAUGACAUGAACAGUAAGUUCAUGCAUAUAUUCAAAGGUAAAUUACACUUUACCCCCCGUGGUUUAGUAUUUUUGUACAUAACCGCUCUAUGAUUUCAAAAACUAUACUUAAUCCUCUCAUGAUUUGAAUUAAAGUGUCAAAGUAACGGAAUUUGCAAUCCAUAGCAAAGUCACCUAAAAUAUAAAAAAUAUCCCUAUAUAAAGUUGAAAAUGAUUUAUUAACCACAGGGGGGGUUAUGUGUAUGUUUUAAAAAUUAAAAGGGAGUUAUAUGAUAAAGUAUUAAAUCAUAAGGAGAUUAUAUGGUAAAACAUAAAAUCAUACGGCGUCAUGUAUAUUAUAUUUAUAUAUUUUGAUCAUUUCAACCAUUUUAAUUUUUAAAUAAGGGUAAUUUUGAUAUUUUUAAAGAUCCUGUUACGAAUGGUCAUUUCUGUCACUUUGCUACUUUAAUCCAAAUUAUGAGGGGGUUAUGUAUAGUUUUUAAAAUCAUAGGGGGUUAUGUAAAAACAAAUUAAACCAUAAGGGGGUAAAAUGUAAUUUACCCUAUAUUCAACUGACAUGUAUGUAUAUUCACGUCCGAUCAACAAAGCACCAUAUUCACUAAGCAAAACUUCAGAUGUUUUCUCAUGUGCAAUUUGAAGUUGUCCAACCACUUAAGAAAACAUGACUAAAGCCCUGAAAUGAGCAAAUCUGAGAGUCGAAAAGACGAGCUUCAACAGCGGCAAACCAUGCUCAUCUGCAUUGACCUUUUCAACACACUUGAUUUUGUUGAACAGGUAAACGUAUACUGGUGUACAAACGAAAGUAGCAAACUGGUGCUUGUCAAAGAAGUUACCAGGCAAGUUCGAAGAAAGUAGCUUCAAUUCUUUAACUUUAGACAAUAAACUAGUUACGCUGUUUCUUUUCAGUGGAACCAAUCAACCAAACAAUAACAAUAUAUAUUUUGGAGAGAAAAAAAAAUGAUUGCAACAUCAUCUUGCAAUAAACUUUUGGCCCAUUCCAACACCCCGUCGUCUGAGAAGCUUUCUUCUCAGUCCAUCCAUCCAUCCAUCCAUGGCGGAAGGCAGCACAAGCGGAUUAUCAGAGCUCCCACAACACAUUAUCCAUCACAUCCUCUCUUACCUCUCAGCAGAAGAAUCAACAAAAACGAGCUUAAUAUCGAAAUCAUGGUUAAGCGCGUGUCAAACCAGCCCAAAAUUGGAAUUCAAUCCUCACGUCUACUUCUCCAGGAAACUCAAUCCAGCUCGCUUCUGGGAUUGGAGCAAAGAAAAGAGAAGGGAGAAAUACGAGGAGUUCUUCCAACACGUGAAGAAAGCCCUGAAGCCGUAUAGCAAACAGGGGUUACGCAUAAACACGGUUAAUUUCACGCUUGAAGCGACUCGCGAUUCUCAGUGGAAUCCACUCCUUGAGAAAUGCACAAAAAUAGCCGUGAAAAAUGGGGUAAGGAAUCUUGAUUUUUUUAUCCCGGAAUGUGAUUUGCCAGCAAUUGUAUUUAGAGCUAAAUCACUUGUUGAUUUAAGUGUUAGAGAGGGUAAUAUUAAGCGAAUGUCAGUUGGGGAAAUUAUAUGUCCUGGGCUUAGAAAACUGUGCCUUAAAUGGGUGAGUUUGGACGUGGAGAUGUUUAAUAAUAUAAUUGAAAGCUGCUCUUUUAUUGAAGUAUUGGAAGUUUGGUAUAUCCAGGUGUUUGAUGAUUUUAAGGUGACUAAGUUGAACAACCUUAAGGAACUUACAGUUCGGUUAUUCGAAAAUCAGUGGGUUAAAGUUGAAGCACCAAAGCUUGAGUUGCUAACUUGCACAGAUGAUGAGAAUUGGUUUGAGGGUGAGGAUGGGGAUGAGGAAGACAGAUUGACUUGUGGGAUUAGAUUCCCUGCCUCGCACUAUCAGAAUCUCAAGUCUUUACUGUUUAGUGGGAUUGGGAUAGAUGACACUUUCUUUAUAGAUUUGGCGUGUAAGUUCCCCAACCUUGAAGAUUUAAUGGUCAGAUAUUGCCAAGAGCUAGAAAGUAUCAAGAUUUCGAGUCAGUCCCUGAAAAGAAUAGAGUUGAUGGACAAUAAAAAAUUGGUAGAAGCACAGUUUGAAGUUCCCAAGAUUCUAGCCUUCGAAUAUUCUAAUGUAUGCGACAUCAUACCCCGAUUUCUUUUUGCGACUGCCUCAAGUUGUUGGACUUCUUCCAUUUGUUUAUGGUGCAUGGAACAUGUAGAUGUUUCAUGGUUUGUCAAAUUGAAAGAAUUAUUAGCAAGUUUAUUUCAGUCUGAAGUUUCACUUGACAUUGACUUUAUAUGCAGCGUAGCCUUUGAUCUGAAUGAGAUUAGGGAUAUUGUCAAAAUUCGUGAACCUCAAGAGGUGCAGAAGUUGACUUUACAUUUUGACUGGAUGUUCUCUUUAGAGAAGGGAUUUUCAGCUCUCGAUGGUCUUUUCUGGGUUUGUCGCCCUAAAUAUGUAAACACAGAGUGGCAUGAUAGCUUAGAGAAGAAUGACGCGGUGAAGUUUCUAUACGACACACUGAUGUUCAGAAGAACUCAGGAUCAGUUUCAGUAUUCGUUGCAAAGUAAGUUCUGGCAGCAUGAUUUGAAGGAAGUAAACAUUGAGGUCCUUGAUAGAUCUAUAUGCAUGAUAGGGGAUAGAGUCAACUUUACGACAAAGGGGAAAAAUGAGCAUCAGCAAGAAGAUUUGGACUGGGAGAACAUUCUGAAUUUGUUAAGGAAUGAUGGAAGCUUUGGAACGAUGGUCUACUUCAAGUUACAGUGGUAAGACAUGAUAUGCCCUAGGUAGUUAAAAGAUUGAAUCUGUAGAAAUCGAAGUUGGAAUAAUGGCAGAAAGUUAUGUUAUAGUAAUAUUCUGUUAGUAUGGUAAUUUACUUGGGGGGUAUCAAUUUUGAGUUGAUCUGGUUAUUUCAUAGUGCAGCUCGACAUGCUUCUUUUGAUUCAGGUACUGAGUUUUUACUGGUUCAAAAGGAUGGAGAAACUUAUAACUAGUGCAAUAAACCAUUGUGGGUAUAAAGUUUUCGCCUAUUGCUACAUUUAUUUGGGAGAGACACCUUCUUUAGAAUUUGUUUUACAAAGUGCAUGUGCCUUUUGACAUAUCAUGGUUGGUUCAUUUAGUUUAUCUUUGAAUUCAUUCCAUUAUUUUUUUUACAUCACAGGUUGCGUGUCAUGGAGAAGGAUGGAAGAAAUUUCGAGACUUGAAGCUGUUAAAAGAAUUUGCAGUAAAUCUGUUAUUUAUAAUCAUACUUAUAUUUGGAUGUCUAGGAAGUUGAGCAAAUGGUAUCUAGUAUUUGUCUCUUUAACUAGUCCUUGGUAACAUUGGAUUAUAAUGAUCUGGAGCUUUUGAUUCAUUUUCAAGUCUGUUUAAGUAGCUGGAUGUUUGAACCACAAUAUGCUUGCUUUGGUCAAUUACUAAUGCUGAGAUAUGAGCUUGCUACCACCAUUUUGCUCAAACUGAGACAGGAAAUUGAAAUUUGCUGGCAACUUCAUUUGGAAUACCCAUUUCUUGAUCUAUUCUUGUAAUCAUUUUGACUAGUAAUAGACUGCUUCAGAUCUAACCAGGACAUGAAGAAACUUCAUCCAAGUCACUGCUUCAGAUCUGACCAGGACAUGAAGAAACUUCAUCCAAGUCAGACGUUAACUAUUGCAGACGACACAUACAUCAUAGCUACUGUAGAGAGCCAAAAUUGACUAUAUCAUGGUGCCUUGGGAAGGUGUAAAAGGAGAGGGCUUGAGUGAUGAAGAUGCAGUGCAUUCCAGGUGCAAAUGCUUAGCUAUAUUCUUAGCUACAGCAAAAUUUACUCGUCAGGCAGGCUUGCCUUUUUGGUUAUAAACAAUCGUUGAGAAAUGUCCACAUCUCUGUUGCAGUUUAUCAUUAAGAACUUUGUAUUUUUAUUGAUAAGUAGCUCUUAGAAAAAUCUUUGCAUAUUCUCUUUUGGUUAGUGAAUCAGCAACUUUUUAAAUUAGUCAACAAAUAAGCAGUAAAAUGUCUGCAUCUAGGUUUUGAUUUGGUUCAAAGUAAUGAAUUUUCAAUAAAAAGAACUUUUACUGUUUCUAUCACAUAAGAUGUUUGAUUCGGUCCCACUCUUUAACAAUCUACCUUUCUGUGCUUUAAAUUUUCUAGAGCUUGUUUUUCUACGCAUACCAAAUAAUCCAAUUGGUGCAUUGUUUGUAAUCAUUUGCCAUGCUUCUUUGACUUAUCAAUGCAAUGUCUUAAUAUUUGACGCGUCUUUAGAUUAUUGACCUGCUUCUUGAAGCCAUGAAAUGCUGGCUUAAUUAAGUGACCGAGUCGAGUAUAGGCUUCUUAAGAAUUCCAACAUAAAGGAGCAACUGAUUGGUGUUAUGAUAAACAAAUCUCUAUCUCUUUUAUCCCGCUUAAUUCAGCCAUUGACUGCAAACUUCAAAUAGUGCCAAAGUCUUUAUUCUGUAAUUAUUUUUUUUAACAUUUUCUCUUCACAAUUGAGUAUUCCAUACUCGUAACUAGUGGUUGCUUCUUAGUAUUCCACAAUUGUUCUUUUCUGGUGUAAAUGACUUUUCCACGAAAAAAAAGGAGGAGAAAACACACAGACAUAUGCACCAUAAGCACUUUGCACAAAUUUGCUACUAAAAUGAUGUACAAUUGCAGUCCAUUUCACGAUUAGAGCUUGCAAAUCAUGCUGCUUGGAACAAACACUCAGUGACAGUGUUAGGAUCUUGGUCAUUGAAUUCGAAGCAGGAAGUAGCAAGGGUUUUUUAAAUAGUUCACAUUUUUAAUUAGUCAAAAAAAAAAUAUUCGCUCAAAUCACAAGAUCUAAAUUGAUUUUAAUAUGUAUGGGACUCGAAAAAUAAAUGUACUAAAUAUACACUGUAUUCAAAUUGAUUUACAUUCUGAAUAAAUGUAUUUACAAUUUAUUGAAAUGCAUGAAAUAGUUCCGAGCCAAUUUCAUGGGUAAUGGGCAUAUUAUACUCCUAAAAUGAGGUCCAUUUUAUUUAAAAUAAAUUCAAUUUAAGACUAUGUAUUUGUUCUAAAUUUAUCUUUCUGUUUUAAGCAUUCUAUUCUUAUUCAAAAACUAAGUUAUUUUCUUUUUUUGUUAGAUUACUCUAACACAAUAGUAUCAUUGGAAAGACGUACAGAAAUUUCAUCAUUUAGGGGGCAAUGUGAGAGCAAAAUUAAAUUAUUUGUGUAGGCACGAUACUUCUAUAAUAGUGAGUUGAGUUUGAACUCGAUUUUUCUCUCUCUUGGGAGUCUCCUUUCUCUCUCUUGGGAGUUGUGCUUUCUUCUUCCUAGGUGUGGGAGUUUAUGUCUGAAAGGGCCAACAGUUUCAAAAAGUUUUCAAAAGCUCACAAACCCGGGACAUUGAAUUCCCAAAUGCUUUGCUAUCAACAAAAUCAGAUUAUGUAGGGACCGGCGACAAAUCUGCACUUUUUGUCCGAAACCACUUAACUACCAACAUCAUUUAUGGCUGACAAAUGAAGAGCAUACUAGUAAUGAAAACAGAGCUCAUACCUGCAUAGGUGUAACAAAAAACAGAGUCUUUCCACUCAACUGUUCCAUUAGCUCUGACAGGUAAAGGGUUAACAUCUCCCUUCUGAACUUUGUCCGAUCGUGUUUUUUGUCUCUUCCUCUUUUAUUUCUUCUUCGUUUUUUAUUUUCCUCUGGUGGCUAUAGGUCUUAUUUUCUGCUUGUGUAAGUCUUAGGAGUAAUAGUCUUUUUUUGGUUAGUAAAGACUAGACUUUUCUCUUGCUUGGCGGUAUCAGCUCUUGGUUGGCUUUGCUUUCAAAAUCAAAAGUGGUGUUUGGUUUUUUCCUGGGAGGUAAAGUGUCGAUGGCAGAGGAACUAGCUUCUAUAAUGUAGAGGUUCGCACUCUCUGAGCAAGAGUUGGGAGGUACAGCUCUGGAACUGGGAGAUGCUAACACGGGUAUUCAGGAGUGCCAACUGAGUCUGGUAGGAAGAGUGAUAGGGGAGAAGUUGAUUAAUUUUGUGGGGGUGAAAAAUUUUGUAAGCCUGGCUUGGGGCUAUCCUCGUGGGUUGACUGUUAUGGAGUUAGGACCUAACUUGUUUCAGUUUAUCAUUCUGAGUGCUACCGAUAGAGAGAGGAUUCUGAAUGGAGGACCUUGGAUAGUAGAUAGCCAAAUAUUGAUCCUCAGAAGGCGGUAUAAUGGGAUAGAGGAGGACAAUGGUGCUUUUAAGUUGACUCCUUUGUGGAUACAGGUGUGGAAUCUUCCUGUACAUUGGAUCUCGAAAGAGGUUGGGUGGAAAAUUGGAUCUAUUUUUCCAGAAGUGAAUCCCCAAACGGGAGGAAAUGAAGGGAGACACUUGAAGAUAUUGGUGAUCGUAGAUAUUUCCCGUCCACUGGUGAGAGGAUCAGUAGUAAAGCUUAGUGGAGUAGGGAAAUGGAUUAGUUUCAAGUAUGAAUGGUGCCCGGACUUCCGUUAUGGGUGUGGUAUAGUUGGACACAGUGAGAGAAGUUGUAAAACUUCUUCUAGCAUAGGGAGAGGACUAUCAGAUAACCAAUACGGACCCUGGCUAAGAGGUAACUGGAAUAAAGGAAUUCCACAGGUUGAACAGACCAUAAGUAGAGGAAGACAAGGUAAGGUGCUGUGGGGUUUUAAGGAUGGGGAACUGGUGCGAAAAGGAGGAAGUGAGGACCCUCGGGGUUUGGAGGAUAGCGCGAAGGGAGGAUAUGAACAAAGGGUUAUGAGAAAAGAGGUGCCAACCAAGGUGAUAGAAGGACAAGAAAGGGAGGCCCAAGCAAUUCCAAGUAUAAUGAGCCAGGAAGAUAGUUUAGAGGGGACAAGCAGAAAUCUGAGAGUUUCAGCACCUAUUGAGGUACAAGAUAUGGAGACAAAUAGCAUUACUGAAGGACAGGUUAUGCGGUCAGGAGACCCAUGUAGCAUUGAGAGGGAGAGGAGAAGCGAGGCAAUAAAUGUUGCAACUGUGGAUGAUGGGGGAUGUGGGGAUGGAAGAAAUGCUGCAGGAAGAAAAUGAGAUACAGGAAAGGAAACAUGUGGCUAUCUAGAAGAUGAACACUAGGAUUAGAAGACAACUUAAGCCUCCGAGCAGGAAGAGGACUCCUUUGGGUGAAACAGAUGGAAAUGUCAGGAAAAUAGAGACUAGAGGAAAGAGAAAAACAUAUCAAGAGGAUACUAAAAUGAAAGAAGCUGAAGGUGAGUGCUUGAAUUUAAAAAGGAAUAAGAGGGAUCAGUCCUUGAAAAUACGGUUAGAGAUUGCUGAAGGUGGGAGGGGGACCAGCCUAAAUGGGUCCCCAAGUGGACAAUGAGAGUACUGGUGUGGAAUUGCCAAGGUGCAGGGAGCCCCUUGACAAUUCCCCAACUGAGGGAGGCUUGCAACAUCCUUUCCCCAAGUGUUGUUUUCUUGUGUGAAACUAAGAAUGGGGACAAGUAUAUGGAGACUGUUAGGAAAAGACUGAAUUUUGAUCAUAGUGCGAUUGUAGAGUCUAUGAAUAGGUCUGGGGGAUGGCCCUUUUUUGGAAACAGGAAGUGAAAAUUACAGAAAUACAUAAGAUAGCGUUCACCAUUGAGGCUCAUAUAUACAUAAGAUAGCGUUCACCAUUGAGGCUCAUAUAGUGGACCACAAUCAACAUUCCGACUGGUGACUGAUUGGUAUAUAUGCAAGUUGUGAUGUGGCAACUAGGAAGAAUCAGUGGAAAGUGUCGAAUGAAAGGAAAAGACAAUGGGGACAAAGAUGGAUAGUUGCAGGAGAUUUUAAUGAUAUAGUGUCCAAUGAAGAGAAAUGGGGAGGAAGAAGCAGAGAGGAGUGGACCUUUAGAGAUUUUAAGCAAUUCAUUGCGGAUAAUGAGCUGAUCGAUGUAGGUUUUGAUGGAAAUCCUCGGACUUGGUGCAAUAACUGGGAAAACGAAGGAGAAAUUAAACAAAUGUUGGAUAGAAUGCUUUGUACUCAUACCUGGUUCCAGAUGUUUGACAAAACAAGGUGCAAACAUGUUGACAAUUACAGCUCAGAUCAUAGUAUGAUUAUGGUUGAUACUAACCCUGAAAAGGACGAAAGAAGGAAAAAAUUCAUUUUUAACAAAAGAUGGAUACAACAAGAAGGGAUUACACAGGUGAUUGAGGAAGCUUCGAAUUAGAAGUGGAAGGAUAAAAAAUGUACCAAGUCACUAGAAAGAUUUCUAAUUGUAGAGUGGCUCUUCUGAAGUGGAAAAAUAGUUUUUAGCAUAACUCUAGGAACAGAAUCAAGGCAGACAUGGAGAGGCUUAGAGAGUCUACUGAGUUUCACAAAGGAGCUAUGGAUGAUCUUAAGACUCAACUUAAGAGAGCUUACUCUAAUGAGGAAAUGUACUGGUCUCAAAAAUCUAGAGUUACUUGGUUGAAGGAGGGGGACAAAAAUUCACAGUUUUUCCAUGCUAGUGUCAAAGGUAGAAUGAAAAGGAAUAGGAUGGUUAAUGUACAAAGAGAUGAUGGAUCAUGGACUUCAAAUGAGAAGGAACAAGGAGAGGAAGUGGUUAGCUAUUACCAACAACUCUUUGAUAGUCAAGGCACUGAAGGCGUUGAGGAUAUCCUGAGGGGAAUACCAAACACAAUUUCUGAUCAAAUGAAUGCAAAUCUGACUAGAACUGUCACUAAGACUGAGAUUAAGUAUGCACUUUUUUCUAUGCAUCCCAACAAAGCCCCUGGGCCUGAUGGGAUGACACCUCUAUUUUUCCAAAAAUUCUAGAGGGUUAUCAGGUCUGAUGUUGUUCCAGCUAUCCAGAGUUUUUUUCACUCAGGUUUCAUGCUAAAGUCUCGUAACCACACGGUUGUCUCUUUGAUUCCCAAAGUUGAGAUGCCAAUCAAUCUUAAACAGUACAGAUCCAUAAGUCUUUGCAAUGUGUUGUAUAAAAUCAUUUCCAAAUUGCUUGCCAACAGACUUAAACAUAAUCUAGACUGUUGUAUAAGCAAGAACCAGGCAGCUUUUUCCCCAGGGAGACAAAUAUUAGAUAAUGUCAUUGUGUCCCAUGAAUAUCUCCAUUAUCUGAAAAACAAAAGACAAGGUUCAGUAAGGUGUAUGGCAUUAAAACUUGACAUGGCAAAAGCCUAUGAUAAGGUUGAGUGGAAAUUCUUAGGUGCAAUCAUGCAGAAAAUGGGAUUCUCAGAGAGAUGGAUAAACUGGAUAUGGAAAUGCUUGUCAACUGUCUCAUUCUCGUUCAAGAUUAAUGGUGAUCAGAAAGGCUAUGUCACUCCCAAGAGAGGUAUAAGACAAGGGGAUCCUCUAUCCCCCUAUUUGUUCUUAAUCUGUUCUGAGGGUUUAUCAAACGUGCUGCGAAGAGCCGAGGCAAGCAAAACUGAUGUCAGGUAUUAGUAUCAGUAGAAGAGGCCCAUCAGUAUCACAUUUGUUCUGAUGAUACUUUAGUUUUUUGCAAAGCAAGCCCAGGUCAAGCUGAGGAACUCAUGAACAUUCUAGCCACAUAUGAAAGAGGCUCUGGUCAGAUGGUAAACUAUGACAAAUCAUCUGUGUUCUUCAGCAAGAAUACACCGAAGGGGGAGAAAGUUGUUGUGUUCAGAAAGUUAGGAAAUGUCCAAAUGGUAAACCAAGGUAAAUAUCUUGGACUACCUAUGGUCAUUACAAGGACGAAGGAGUAGCUGUUUGGUUUAUUAGAAAUAAUUGCCAACAAAGGAUGGCAAGUUGGAAAAACAAAAUGCUCAGCAAUGCAGGGAAGGAAGUGCUACUGAAAGCCAUCACAAUGGCCUUGCCUACGUACGCCAUGUCCUGUUUCAAAUUUCUAGGAAAACUCUGUAAAGAUAUUAGCGCUAUAAUGGCAAGGUACUGGUGGGGAGAAGACAAGGGAAAAAAGAAGAUGCAAUGGUGUUCCUGGUCAAAACUUACGAAAGACAAAGGCAGAGGGGAAAUGGGAUUCAGGGACCUGCAAAAUUUUAGUAAAGCUCUCCUUGGCAAGCAACUCUAGAGACUGGUAACAUGCCCAAAUUUAUUGCUAAGUAAAAUUAUGAAGGCGAAGUACUUUCCAGAUAGAUCAUUAUUCCAGUAUAAGGUGAGCCCAACUGCUUCAUGGGUUUGGAAGAGUAUGGCCAGUGUUAGAGAUGAAGUGGGGAAAGGAAUUUGGCGGAAAAUUGGGGAUGGUAGCAGUACCAAUAUUUGGAAAGAUCAUUGGAUCCCAAAUAACAAAGGAGGGACACCUACUACUCCUAAACCCCAAAGCUGCUGCCUAAACAAAGUGAAAGAACUGAUAACAAACUUCAGCUGGAAUAGACUACUGAUUUUCAGUACUUUCAAUGGCAAAGAUGCUGAAGAAAUCCUCAAAAUCCCAAUAAGUGUGAUAGGAAGGACAGAUAGCAGUUACUCGAUAGCAAGCACCAAUGGAAACUACACUGUGAAGUCAGCCUACAAGAUGUUGGCAGGGGAGGAGAAAACUACUAAUAUUGGAAAGGGAGUAGCUAGAAGGCAAGGGGAAACCAGCUUUAAUGGACACAGAAGGAGAAAGAUUGGAGCAAAAUGAGGAAAAUGGACAUUAAAGGUAAACACAAGACCUUUCUUUGGAAAUGUCUGAACAAAGCUCUACCAGUGAACGAGCUCAUAUACUACAGAACCAAAAUGGGGGAACCAAUUUGCCAAGUCUGUGGCGCAGGAGAGGAAACCAUAGAACACUUGUUUUUCUUUUGCAAUCCAGCAAAGGAAGUAUGAAGGUUCGCACCAGUGCAGUGGGAUGGCAUUGCUGACAGUAGAGGCAAUUUCAACAAAUGGUGGAGUGGACUAAUGAAGCAACAAGCAGAAAUGAAGGUCACCAGCACCAAGCUCUUACUGUGAACAUUCUUUGGCAACUGUGGAAAGCCAGAAAUGAGAAGGUCUUUAACAACAAGUGCAGGACUCCUUUUGACAUUGUACUGAAAGCUCAUCUAGAAUGGAUAGAGUACACUGAAGUGAAAAGUAGAGAGAAGCGGGUGAGCAGCCAGGAAACAUCAGCUAAUGAUGAAGAGGGACCGUGUGACAUUAAACACAGCAACAAGAUGACAAUUGAAGUGGAGGUGAGCCAGCUGAAAGAAAGCAAAAUUGUUAGCAUUGGCAUAGUGGCAACAAAAGACAACAAUGUGCACGCUGCAUGGGCCAUGCAAGGCAGAAGUACAAGUGACAUUUUACUGGAUUAUACUGCUGCACUCAAAUUAUCAUUGUGCAAAAUCAGAGAAAAGCCUUGGCCAGAUGUUAAUCUGCUAGUUUCAUCCGCUCAGUUGUUACGAAUGCUGCGAACUCACAAGACACAAGACACAAGACAUCAGACUUUUUGCUCAAUUGGAAGACAUUCACAUGCUCAAAGCUUUAUUUAUGAACUGCUCAUUCAGCUUGGUUGAAAACAAGUGUAAUAGAUGAGGGAGAAGAAUUGCCACUGGCCAUUUGGUCCAGUGGUCAUCACCAUAUUUGGUGAUGCUGGAGGUCAGGGGUUCAACCCCUGCCUCCCACAAAUUUGCCACAAUAUAUGACUGGUCUUAGUUGACCAUCUUCCUUUAUCCCUUCCCCUAGAUUAGGCUAGAUUAGGUUAUAGGACAUCUAUCGUUGCAGGAAAAAAAAAAAAGAUGAGGAAGAAGAAUUAACAAGUAUGCUACUACAUUAGUGCAAGAUGAGGAAUAUCUAAGUCCUUUGUGUCAAACGACACAAUUGUAAACCUCGUGAUGGGCCUUUGCUCAAGUUUGUAUAGCUUGUUUUUUAAAUCAAUAAAUUUCCUAUCGUUUCCGUAAAAAAGAAAAAGUUGAGUUUGAACUCAAAAUACUACAAAUAUAUUUUACAUGGGCUGAGCUCGAACUCACUUGAGCCCGGCUCACAUAACUCAAUUAGUAGGCCUGGCCUUUUUCUUUUUCUUUUUUUUUCUAAAAUUAAAUACUAUAAGCAGCCAAUCUUCAUCUAUCGGUUAUUCUAUUAAAGGAGGGGAAAUUUGUGAUCCCUAGGGCUAGGGCGACUCACGUCUUGCCGUCAUUGGAGCCCUUAGGGUUAGUUGCUUUUAGCAGAUUUCCUCUAAGAAAUCCAUGGCCGAGACAGUAGUCAGGAGAAGCAUGGCAGAUUUGCCAGAACCCAUCAUACAUCACAUACUCUCUUUUCUCUCAGGUGAUCAAGCAGCUCAAACAACUGUGUUGUGCAAGGCAUGGUUGAAUGCAUGGCUCACUCGCCCCACUCUAGCAUUUAGCAGUGCCUUCUUCUUCUCCAAGAAAAAGAAAAGGACAAAAGAAUUUUGUUGGCAUCCGCCGGAUAGGGAUGAGAUCAGGGAAUAUAACAACUUCGCCAAAUACGUGGAAAGGAGUUUCGAUAGGUACCAUAAACAGAAGACUGGUAUAGACACGAUUGAGCUGGAGAUCGAUAAAGGUGUGUUUGACUGGGAGCCGGUUAUCAGGAGAUGCAUUCAAGUUGCUGCAGAAGACAGCGUGAAAAACCUCAAACUCUCACUCUGCAACAGUGAGUUACCUGAAAUUCUUCUUUUUGAAGCUAAAUCACUAGUAGAUUUAACUCUUAGCCAGGUCAAGUUGGUUGAGCGAUCAACUGAGAAAAUUAAACCGUUUGAUCGUCUCAAGAGGCUGUCUCUUAACUAUGUAGAGUUCUAUGAUGUGCCGUUUGAGAGCAUAAUAUCAUGCUGCCAAUCGGUUGAAAUCUUGGAAAUUAGUUACUGCAAAAAUGGCAACGAUUCUGAUCAAUAUUUUAAGGUAGCCGGACAAAAUGCUCUCAAGGAGUUGAUUGCCGUGUUAUCACAUCCUCAAACACUAAUCUUGUGUGAGGCACCAAGUCUUGAAUCACUUACUUGUAAGUCUGACGGCAAGCAUGGUCAGUAUCCUUGCUUGCUUAAUUUGCAUUCAUCUCAAUAUGAGAAUCUCAAGAGUUUGUUGCUAUCUGGUGUUGGCGUUGGUGACGUUUUUUUUGUCAACUUGGCACAUUAUUUUCCACACCUUGAAAGUUUGUCUGUCCAAUAUUGCCAAGAUUUGAGGAACAUCAAAAUCUCGAGUCCCUCCCUAAAAAGAAUACAGUUGGUGCGGAAUUGGGGUUUGAGAAAGGCACAAUUUGAUGUUCCGAGUAUCAUAAAAUUUGAGUAUGAUGACCGAAAAUGCAGGAUCAUACCCGAGUUCUCUUUUGCAGCUGCUUCAAGUCGUUGGGUUUCUUGCUUUACUAUAUGCACGCAGGAAGAUGCGGGCAAUUCAUGUUUCCUCCAAUUGAAGAAACUGGUCACCAGUUUAGCUCAGUCUGCAGUUUCACUCAAACUUAUGUUUAGAUGGAAUGAAGCAUUCAAUUUGGAGGAGGCUAUGAAGGAUGGAGGAUUUGACGAACCUCAAGUGUUGCAGGAACUGUUUUCCAAGUCCAUAGAUUGGAACUUCCGUGUUUCAUCUGCUUAUUCAAUGUUGGAUGUUAUUUUUUGGGUGUGUCGUCCAAAAGCCAUAGUGGAUUUUUGGAUUAACAAGCCUAGGUACAAUGAGAGGUUGCACUUUCUGUACACGAAGCUUAUGUUCAGAAAAAAUCAUAAACAAUUUCACAAUUCUCAACAAAUGAAGUUUUGGCAGAGCGAUCUAAGGGAAGUAAAAGUAGAGAUCUUUCAUCGUUGCGUAAUUCACUCGGAGCUCGGCUUGGACUUCAUUUUAGUUGGAGAAGGAGAGCAGUUGGAGGAAACUCUAGAUUGUAAGGAUUUUCUGAGUUUUCUAAGAACUCGUGCACCCAGCUGGGGAAUGAUGAUUAAAUUCAAAUUGGAUUGGGAGACCAACUGACCAGCAUCUGGGGUAUCCGAUGAAGCAAAAUCAUCAAAAAGUUCGUGUUUGAAGUUUGAAGAGUUGGCUUUUGAUUUAUAAGGUAGUAAAUAUUUCGUGUUUGUAUUACUAUCUCAUCUCAAUCAGUCAAUACAAUUAUGCUGCAGAUUGAGUCUAGUAUAUGAAUUGAUCAUCCCAAAUAAUAUAUGUAAAAUGAAGUGAACCUGUAAAUGCAAUAUGGCAUGAGGUAGUUAGUCCUGCUUGGUGAAUUAGAAAUCAUACCCAAAUAACAAGGAAGAAAAGAGAUUACUAGGAUCACAGAAGCUGCAUGGAGGUAUAAAACCAUAGUGAUCUAAGUGGUUUUGAACGUGAUCUGCAUUCAAUUAUGUAUGAAAAAUUGAUUGUUUGAUUAUACAUCUCAGUGUGUUAGGUGUGUUUCGCGAUAAUUGUAAUUUUCCUUGCAUGUGUAUGAAGAAUGUUAAUCGUAUUAGCGUUAAUCAAGUAAUUUAUGUCAAAUUAUGCAUGCUUUAUUACAUUCCAUCAUAUUGAUCAUUCUUGAUUUCUCUUGUAUUGUUAGAAUUAGUUGCCAAAUCUAAUAUAUAUUUUGAGCGUGUUGUUGUGUUUCUUUGUAGGAUGAAUUUUCAUAUGACGUCAAAGAGAUGUAUUCAUGCAAGUUCCAGAUUGUUGAAGGAUAUUGUCUCAGACUUGAAUUUCCAUUAUUCCAAAAUUCUUGAUGAUGGCUGCAAAACAUAGUCUUCCCAGGUAGAUUUUGUGUCAAGAGUUAGUUGAUCCGUCACCUUCUUGCUCCUUAAUUAUCAAAUUGAAAAGAAAAUUUAGACUUUAUGGCUUUAAUUUGUACUAUUCAUCCAGAAACCUGAAAAAUGAUCGAGUAAGUAUUAAAGUCUUUGUUAUGCAAUUUGGGUUUUUUUCCCUUCUGUUAAAAAAUUUAGUUUUUCUAUGCUCGUAAUUGGUGUAUGCUUUUUCUGUGCCAAUAACAUAAAUUAACUGCUUAUAAUAUGGAUGCAUUAUUCUUUUCCUCUGAAAAAUGUGAUCAAAAUCAUUUUUGAACCAAAAAAAGAACAUAGAGACCAUAAGCAUUUACUAUAUUAUUGGUACCUAAAUAUUGUACAAUUGCCAUAUGCCAAGAUAAAUGUGUACACGUAUGUGUGAACCUAAAAAAUGUUACAAUUAUUGAGAAAAAUAAAAGAAACAAACGACAAGAGUUUAUUUCUUUGUAAAAAACUGUCUUGACUCAUAACAUGAAAUUGUUUUAUUUAUAGAGUUCAAAACAACUCCACUAACUAUCCCAAUAACUCCACUAAUUCCACUAACUCCAUUAAUUAGGUAAAACAAAAUAAACAAACAUGAUUAAUUAACAACAGUAAAUAUUUCUAACAAAAAAAAAAUUGUGUAUGUAUGAAGAUAAAUACUGAACAUUCACUCUAUUUGUAAGACAAAUUUUUCAUGGUUACUGCUUCCAAAUUGUGCAGCACUAAACCAGCAUUGCCUACCACCAAAACAAAAAAACAAAAACAAAAAGAAAAAUCGCGUGCACACACACACACACACGCAUCAUCGGAGAAUUGAGAAUCAAUGCAAGAAAAGUUAUUCAAAUAAAUUUGCUGAAAUCUCUGCUUGAAGGGAUGAAGGCAUGGUAUCUUGCUGAGUUUUAGUGCCGAAAGAUAUUUCGCUGGCAUUUAAUUUGCUGCUUCUGAAGCAAAAUAGUUAUCGAUUGUUUGAUUUCUUUCUAGUUUCGCGAAAUAUAAAAAGGAAAAGGAUGCAUCAUGGAAGAUUUCUUACAUCUCUUUGGUUUCUUCCUAAAGGACCCAAACAUUCAAUCCUUCAAGAUUUCAGUUUCCAGCCCAGGUCUAUAACAUUGCAAUCAACUAAAAAGUACCCUUUUCUAGCUAUUUUCUCAGCAACAGCUCCAUAAUUUGACCACAUAAAAUUGUAGAAAAAAAUUUUAUACUUGAGAUGGAUAUUCACAUGCUGCUUUGGAAUGAAAUUUUGACUAAAUUCUGCUUCGGACCAAUUCUGUUGUAUCCAAGCUUAGCAGUUUUUUUUUUUUUUUUUGCCACAGUAAUAUUCUUUCUGAAAAUUAUUUCCCUUGUAAUGCACUUCCAUAUUUUAUUCCCAUUAUGAAUUUUUCUUGACUUGUCAUCUCCUAUUUGCCAUGAUGAAAAAUGAAAAUAAGAAAGGGUCACUUAUAAAUGGAGAAAUUGCCAUUCAUGAUAAACAAAAACUUUGAAGGUUUUUUAUUUCAAAGUGUAUGCCAACCUAUCUUACCUUGGUAGUUUACUUAUCAUUUAAAGUAAUUAUUUUCACAAUAUGAACCACGAAAUGAUCAAUCCAUGAGAAUUCUCAAGAUUAAUUAAAUUUUGCACUAGGUGUUGGCCAAAAGAAAAUAAAAUGAAAUGGAUGUAAUUGGAACAAUAAAAUUUCCAAUGGAGCAAAAAGGAAACUAAUCCUACUUGAAUAGAGAUUAAACACCUCAUAAAAAAGGGAAGUAAUUGGUUUCCAUCACCCAAAAAAAAAAAAAAAAAAAAAGUGUAGUAGUUACAGAUACCAGCUGGAGAUGAAACCACAUUGGGCUACCUGUAAGCUGUACUGACUAUUUGUGGUGGGUGUGAUUAGUCUGAGCAUUUGUAUUCGGUAUAUUUAGGCACAACUUCAUAGAUUUGGGCAAUAAUCGAGAUACAUUAUGCAAGAGCAAUCCUUUUGGUGUCUUUUUUUUUAUUUUUUAUUUUUUUUAAAAAAACCUUAUUCUUUUUGGGUGUUGCUUAUUUUUGUCACUCUUUCAAAUGCCAAUGUUACAUUCAUAACAAAGGACAAAUUCCUACAUAUCUCUCACACGAAAUAUUAACUACAAUAAUCACCUCCUAAUCUGAAUAAUAAUCAAAGGGUAGCUUUAAUUUUUAACUUUCUAUUGCUUUUUUUUCCUUUUUAAUUAAGUACAUAUAUAAUAUUUACCAAAAUCACUAAUUCAAAAUAGAGAUCGCAAGCUUAUUUCAAUUGCCCGUAAUCGAGUUAAUUAAUUACAAAGCAUAAUCUUAAACCCGUUAUGUAAGUAAAAUCAAAGCAUAAUUUUAAGCCCGUUAUGUAAAUCAAACCAAAUCUCUACAUCUGCAUAAUAUUGUGUUAAACAAAACAGUAAACUAAACUAAACUAAACAAUGAACUAAAACAUCAACAACCAAGUGUUUGACCCGAUUAUGGUCACGUAGUCUUUCUCAAUUAUUCUUGGUGACUUUAAUACAUCUUUAAUUUAUAUAGCACCAAAGUGAUAUUCUCAAAAACUUGAGGAUCCAAACAUCAUCCACCUAGGGCAGCAAGCAGGGUGAAUUUUAAGCCCGUUAUACUAAUUUUAUUCUGUAAAAGCCCAUAAUAAGUAAACAUGCAAAUAUAAGAGUAGCCAACCUCUUCUAAAUCUAUAUUCCCCUAGGGCAGCUCUUUUCCUUGCAGAUCAAUUUAGCCUUUAAGCCAAAAAUCAAGCUUGCCGAUGGCAUCAAUGGUAGACUUGCCAGAUGACAUUAUAGGUCAUAUUAUCUCUUUCCUCUCAUACAAGCAAGCAGCCAAAACGAGCGUGCUGUCUAAAUCAUGGCUGAAUGCAUGGCGGGCACGUCCCACGACCGGCUUGACAUUGGAUUAUAACAACUUCCGCAAGGAAUUGAAAACAGAAGGUCAGGGGCGUUGGCAUAAAAGAACGAAAGAGGAGGGAAAGAGAAAGUUCACUAAAUACGUCAGAAGAACCCUGAAGAGCUGCACCAAAGAAAAGAUAGGCAUAAACGAGUUCAAGAUUAUUGUAAGUGGAAUUUUUUUUUUUUAUUGGAAUUCUCUCGUUAAGAGAUGCUUGCAGGUGGCUGUUAAAAGUGGUGUGAAGAAACUCUAUCUUGAUCUCUACGGAUGUGCUUUGCCUGAAAUCUUCUUCGACGCUAAAUCACUAGUAGAUUUAGGCCUAAGGGGGGUCGCGUUGGUUGAACAAUCGAUGGAGAAAAUUAAAGGGUUUGAUCAUCUCAAGCGACUCUCUCUAUGCAUGGUUGACUUAGAUAAUGUCACGUUUGAGCGCAUGAUGUUAAGCUGCCAACAGAUUGAAAUCUUGAAAAUUAGUUAUUGUGAUUUCGAUGAUGAAUAUGCUCAAUACUUUGAUGUGCCUGAUUUAGCCAAUCUUAGGAAGCUUACUGUGGAGCUGAACUAUAAUCAAAGUUUGAUUUUGCAUGAGGCUCCAAAUCUUGAAUCACUAUUUUGUUCGAGUAAUGAAGACUUCAUGCGCGAUAUUGGUGAUUGGGCGCCUUGUUGGCUUGAUUUGCGUUCGUCUCAGUACAAAAAUCUCAAGACUUUGGUUUUAUAUGCUGUUGGCCACUGUUACAAGGUUUUGAUCCAAAUGGAACAUAAAUUUCCAUGCCUUGAAGAUUUGACAAUCCAAUAUUGCCAAGACUUGAAAAGAAUCAAAAUUAAGAGCGACUCCCUGAAAAAAAUACAGUUGUCGGAUAAUUGGGGAUUGAACAAGGCACAAUUUGACACCCCAAGCAUUGUUCAAUUGUAUUCGCUGAUAGCCAAUGCGAGAUCAUUCCAAUUUUGUCUUUUAUAGCUGCAUCAGGUCAUUGGGCUUCUAAUAUAAGUAUAACCUGGAAUGAGAAUCUGGACACUUCAUGGCUCUUCAAAUUCCAGAGAUUGUUGGCAAGUCUAGUUCAAUCUCAAAUUUCAGUUAGCCUUGAGCUUUUGGGCAGUAUUUCAUUUGAUUUCAAUGAAAUUGGAGAUAAUUUAACAUCUCAUGAACCUCAAGAGGUGCACGAAUUGACUCUGGACAUCCACAGGGAAUCUUUAUUAUCAUCUCCAGUCCUAGUGUUGGACGCCCCUUUUUGGGUUUGUCGUCCAAAAACUAUAAGGCAACACUGGGGUUUUUCGGACGCCAUGUUGGCAUCAUUUUUUGGGAGGAACAUUGAGACUUUGAAGCUCCUUUAUGACAUGUUAAUACUAAGAAAUAAUCAAGAACUAGUCCACAGUUUGCAACAAUUGAAGUCCUGGGAGGACAAUUUGAAGGGACUGAAAGUUGGGAUCUUUAAGAGCCGUCUAGAUGGGGUGGCAAGCACAAGAAAAUACUAUGCAGGGGAACAAAGAGAGCAGCAAUUGGAAGCUUUGGAUUGGGAGAAUUUUUUGAAGGUAGUAAAUACUCAUUCAGAUGUGUUGAUUCACUUCGGGUUGGACUGGAAAGCAUCCGUCAAGCCCGAGGGGACAAAGAGGAAAGCAACUGACAAGCCUAAGGAAGAAAAAUCAUCAAAACGGUCAAAUUCAAAGGUGGUCUAAUUUUUCACAAUGUUCAUGAGGUCUUAUUGAAAGGUUGUGAUUUAUGAUUUGGCAUGUGGCACAAUUUUUUCAGAAUUUAAUUGCAAUGCUGUUUUACUUGGUAGUAUUUACAUUUUUCAAAUUACGAGUACUAACUUGAUCAAAAUUUUGAUCAAUCAUAUUUGUAGUAUGUGCUUUUGCUUCGAUUUUCUUUGAUGGAAUUACUCAUAAUGACUAAUGCAAGUUGUUCCUGGAGUGACUCUUUAACUUAGAAAGUAAAACCUGGUCCCUUAGUCAAUAUGGCAGCCUCAAGUAGUCUAACUUUUGGUAACUCUUUUGUUCUUGCAAUCUGUCCUGUGCAAAUUCUAAAGACUAAUAGCAAACAACACAAUCUGUGGUGGAUUCGGGGGAAAGAAAAGAUUCAGUAGAUGCAGAAUAAUUCAUUGUGACUCACAAGAAUAUUAAUGUAUACGCAUACGAGACAAAUGUAGACACUAAAACAACAAAUUUAAUUGCAUGUAAACCAUAAUAACCUUUUAACACACAUUGAAUCAUCUUUCACAAUCAAUCUCAUCAGAGGACUUUCAUGCAAUCAUUUUGUUAGUUUUAUUUUUUCCUUUUUUUUUGUUACCAUCACUCACAAUUAAUGUACCUCUUGCAUCUAGAUAUUUUUCUAAAUUAAUUUCACUAUUCCAAAAAAAAUUAACUUAGCCUCAAAAAAAAAAAAAAUCAACCUAGUCCCUCUUAAGGAGUGUCCUGAGACGCUUGAUAGCUAAAUCCAUUUGAAACUUCAGGAUCGAGCAAGAAAAAUUUUCAAAAAGAAAAAGAAAAAAGUUAAAUAUACCAGUUGUCUUCUAAGAACCCAAUUAGACUUAAGAACAGUGAGCAGAAAGCUUUUAAGACUGUAAAAAUAAGUAAAUGAAUCGAAAGAGUACUUAUCCUGUUAGAAAUUCCAGUUACUUUAGUAAGACCGAACUCAUAUGCCCAAAAAAGCAAUCCUUCUGAUUCGUUAAACAAUUAGAACUUUUGUGAGUUUGGGAGACUGGAAAUCAAUGGUGACAUGGAAGUUGAGCUCUUAUUAGAGUAGAAUUCUAAUCCUACAUAUAAUCUCGAGCGAAGCACGACUACAAUUACAUUUCCCUGGUGCAGGUAGAGUUACAGUUGCUUGUUGCUAUGGCGCAAUCAGAAACAGUAGAAGAUUGUUCAAUCAAUUUGCCAGUACAUAUAAUACAUCAUAUACUCUCAUUCUUCUACUCUCCCAAGGAAGCAGCACAAAAAGUUUAGGGCAAAUUACACUUUACCCCCUGUGGUUUAGUAUUUUUAUACAUAACCCCCGUAUAGUUUUAAAAGUUAUACCUAACCUCCUUAUGAUUUGAAUUAAAGCGUCAAAGCGAUGGAAUUUGCAAUCCGUGAUGGAAUCACCUAAAAUGUCAAAAAUACCCCUAUAUAAAGUUGAAAUUAUUUAUUAACCACAGGAGAGUUAUGUGUAUAUUUUGAAGAUCAUAAGAGGAUUGUAUGAUAAAAUAUUAAAUCAUAAGGAGAUUAUAUGGUAAAACAUAAAAUCAUACAGGGUUAGUGCGUCAUGUAUAUUAUGUUUAUAUAUUUUGGUUACUUUAUCCAUUUUAAUUUUUAAACAAGGGUAAUUUUAAUAUUUUCAUAGGUUCCGUUACGAAUGAUCAUUUCCGUCACUUUGACACUUUAAUCUAAACCAUGAGAGGGUUAUAUAUAGUUUUUGAAAUCAUAGGGGGGUUAUAUAUAAAAAAAUACUAAACCAUAGGAGGGUAAAGUGUAAUUUGUCCAAAAGUUUAUUGUCCAAGGCAUGGUUGAGAGCAUGGCGCACCCGGCCCAAUUUGAAGUUCAAUGGUUGGGAAUACUCUAUAUCCAAGAAGAACGCUGACAUCCAAGUUCUUGAAAAGCAAUGCUGCGAUUUCAUAAAUUGCAUCAACUCCACCUUGAACAGGUACGAUGAGCACAAGAAUGGUAUUGAUAUUUUGGAGCUUAUUCGCCCUCCAUCUGUAUCGCCUGAGCAUGUUAAUAGAUGGAUCCAAAUUGCUGAAGACAACAAUUUCAAAAGGCUUGUGGUUGAUAUAACUACAGAUUCUUUUAUUUUGUGUUAACCUAUUUCAAUUUUCAACCACAGAAUCUUUUAUUUUGCCUCAGAAUCACUUUUUGAACUGAGUCUCUGCGGCAACUUCCAGUUGAACUCCCCAGUAAUUAGGAAAAUAACUUGUCACAAUCUCCAAAAGCUUUGGCUCACAGGGGUUGAUCUAGACGAAGAAAUGUUUCAAACAAUAGUUGUGAGCUGCCCGUUGAUUGAUUGGUUGAAAAUUUCGAACUGUGCUGGCCUUGCCAACCUUAAGGUGACUAAGCUUCAGAAACUUAAGGUAUUUGAGGUUAUCUUUAAGGGAGGUGGAUGCGUUGCUGUCGAAGCACCAAGCCUUGAAUUCUUUAAUUAUAGUAAAAUAUACUCCUUUGACAAUGAAGAAAGAAUGCCAUCACAACAUUGCAGUCUUCAGAUGCAUUCAUCUCAAAAUCUAAAGCAUUUGCAAUUUGAGAACAUUGACAUUACUGACGAGUUUUUCUUAGAUAUCAAAGAAAAAUUCCCACAUCUUGAAGACUUGAACAUCCAUGGAUGCAACCAUUUGAGAAGAAUCAAGAUUUCCAGCCACCCCAUUAAACGCAUAAAUUUGGAAUCGAACUAUAGACUCGAAGAGGCCCAUAUUGAGGUUCCGAGCAUUAAUCGAUUUAAAUUUAGAGGAUGCUCCAUUCCUCUGUUUUCUUUUACAGCUCCCUCCGGUUCUUGUGUUUCUCUAAUUGAAUUUUAUUGGUGGGACUGGCAGUUACCAGAGGCUUCUUGGUUCGCUAAAUUGAAGGACUUGUUGACAAAACUAAGUCAAUCUGAAAUUUUGCUCCAACUGAAGUGUGGCAGUACUUUAGCAAGCACCAUUGUGGAUGAGAUAAGAAACAGCGCUUUAUAUCCAAUUCCUCAAGUUCAAACAUUGUCGAUACCCUUCGAGAAGGGAAAAUUCUUUGAUGCUGAUCUGAUUCUGGACGCAAUCUUCUGUACCUGUCGUCCAAAAACCAUAGCUCAAGAUUGGAAUCAGAACCUGGAUUUGAACUCAAAUGAACUUUCAAGCAUUGAAUAGUUUGGUCAUCUUCCAACCAUAAUAUGCCCUUUUUUGUUGAAGUUAAGAAAGUUAAGAACCACACUGGAUUACUUUUUUUUUUUUUUUUUUUUGUGAAACAGGGAUAACAGUUGUUGUGGUUGGAACUUUAUGGACCACUUUAGUACAUACUUGGACUUCAGGGACAAAAGUUGCAUUUUUUUUCACAUAGUGCGUUAGCCGUUAAGAGACUAUCUAACAAUCAUUGAGAGCUGUAUAAAAUUCGUAUCAGAAAAAAGAAAUAUAAAGAAGGAAAAUUUUAAGAUGACAAAAAAAAUACAGAAAUUGCCAAUUAUUUUUGAGACGUAUGUAAUCGUGUUACUCAAUUAUAGAUAGGGUGGAGUCUACACCUAAUUCCGCCCCUCUAAGGUGGUUUAAUUUUGAUUAAAAAAAAAAAGGAAUUUCACAUGACUCCUGCCAAUAGGAAUUUGUAGAUUUGUCAAUUACGCUUUCCUGUUUCGAAUUGGAAACAAUAGGAGAGUCCAAUUCGAACUGUUUUGGGUUAUGGAAACUGGGAACCAAUGGCGGUGACAAAUUACUCCAUAGUGCAUAAAAGGAGCAGUAUCUUCAGAUUUCCCUAGUGCAAAUUGCUCUGCUUCAUCAAUUCACGCUGACAACAGUACUCUAGCGUAUAACCUAAAAAGUUGUCUAUUACAAUGGUGGAGACAGAAGCUUUAGAAGAUUGCACGGCGAAAUUGCCUCAACAUAUUAUGCAUCACAUACUCUCUUUUCUCCAAAUCCCAGAACAGGCAGCACCAAUGAGUUUGUUGUCGAAGGCAUGGUUGCAGGCAUGGCGCACGCGCCCCAAUUUGGAGCUUUUGUACAAUAUAUAUUCAGAACCGACUGAUAAAGGCAUUCAAAAAAGGCGAAGUGAUUUCGUAAAUUGCAUCAACACCACCUUGCAACGGUACCGUGAGCACAAGAAUGGUAUUGAUCGUUUAAAUCUUUGUAGCCCUCCAUCUGUAUCGCCUGAGGAUUUCAAUAGAUGGAUCCAAAUUGCUGUGGAAAACGGAGUCAAAAGUCUUGAUAUUGCUGCCCCUUCUGGUUCUGAAUAUUUUGUUUUGGCUCCAACUGUUUUUGAAGCUAAGUCGAUUGCAGAAUUGGAUCUUUGCCAUUUCCAGUUGAAGCCCCAAGUGAUUAAGACGAUAAGGUGUCACAAUCUCCACAAACUUCGGCUUAUGCAUGUGAAAUUAGACGAGGUAUUGUUCCAAAGAAUAUUGUCCAGCUGCCCGUUGAUUCAUUUGUUGACAAUUGUUAACUGUGCGGGUCUUGCCAACGUUAAGGUGACCAAGCUUCAGAAGCUUGAGCAUCUUGAUAUUGUAGUAAAGGGAAGUUGUUCUGUUGAAGUCGAAGCACCAAGUCUUCUGUACUUUAAGUAUGGCAAACUACUUUCCUUCGAGAUAGAACGAACAUCAAGACAUCGCAAGCUUCGGAUGCAUGCCUGUCCAAAUCUAAAGCAUUUGCUGUUGGACGAAAUUGGCAUCACUGACGAGUUUUUCUUAGAUUUCGCAGAAAAAUUCCCACAUCUCGAAGAGUUAGAAAUCACAAGCUGGGGCGGCGAUUUGGAAAGAAUCAAUAUUUCCAGCCGCUCCAUUAAGCACAUAAGUUUGGAAUUGCACUUGGAACCAGUAGAAGAGGUCCAAAUUGAUGUUCCAAGCCUUGAUUGGUUUGAAUACACAGGAAAAUCCAUAAACCUGUUUUCUUUCACAGCUCCCUCUGGUCCUUGUGUUUCUACAAUUAAAUUGCAGUGUCGGGAAUGGCCCUUACCAGUGGCUUCGUGGUUCUCCAAAUUGAAGGACAUGUUGACAAAGCUAAGUCAAUCUAAAGUUUCACUCCAUUUAGACAUUGAUCAACUUGUGUCCAGGUCCACUGUUUUUGAGGUAAGAAAUAGAUCCAUUCUUCCACUGCCUCAAGUUCAAAAGUUGUCCUUAUGUUUUCACAAUAGAUGUUUAGAUACUGCAGACUCAAUUUUAGAUGCUAUCUUCUGGACUUGUCGUCCUAAAACCAUUGCUCAAAAGUGGAACAAGUGCCUGAAGCCAAACAAGAUUCACCUCGCAAAGGUAAUCUAUGAGACGUUCCUUCUGGGAGGAGAAAAUAUUAAGCACACCAACGUGCAGAAAAGGAAGCUUUGGCAGAAUGAUCUGAGGGAUGUAAAACUCGUGAGAUUUAAAAAGGGCCAAAGAGUGCACUUGUCUAGUUCUCUGGACUGGGAUACUUUUUUGGAAGUAUUCCCGCGUAAAGGGGACUGUCGACGUUUUCGCUAUGAGCUAGAGUGGGAACCAAUAGACGUGGAUCGGAAGCAAAAAGUUUCAAACCCAAAAAGAAGGAAAUUAGAGGAGAGCAGGAAAUAGCAGAAAGCGGUAUCAAGAAGCUGAUGAAUAUGAUGUUCAAGGGCUUUCCGAAUGCAUUUAAUCGUCUUAGUGACAGGCUCAAAUAGUUCCUGGGCAGGAGUUAAGUAUUUUGAUCCUGAUAUUCCAUGCCAAAAUUGAAGAUGAAUACCUAGACAUUAUUUAGAGUUUAAAUACCCUUUUACGAUCAUUAUUCACCAAAAUAUUGACCCUUUUGUCAAAAUUAAAAAAUCUUGACAUUUUUGUCGGCAAUCCAUAACUAUAUAAAGAAAUUUAUUUGUAGAAAAUUGACGUCUUAUAUAUAUAUGUCAAACUUUUCAUGGGGUCGAUCUUCCACUUAACGUCUGAACAAAACCAAUACAGAGUCCUACAAUCCAGAACAGCCGUGGCUUUUCCUUUUGCUCCCUUGCCAUGUUUUCAAAUUCUUUAAGAAUUUCUUCAUGCAGCAGAAGGAUGAUUUAUGAUGUUCCUGCUUUCACAUAAAUUUAACAGUAAAGAUACAAGAUAUGUUGUUCCUUCUCUUUGUAUUUAACUCUCUUCUCUAUGAACACACAUGAUCAUGAUACAGUUCUCGUUCCUACGUCCUUGCACAUGUAUCUUGUGCUUGUACAUUGGAAAUAUCAAACAGUAGGAGGAGCCAAAAAAAGAGCAAGAGAGGGCUAAGAAUUCCUUCGUGUGCUUCCCAGACAUUUUGAUACUAUCCAACAUUUUUGACAAAAAAAAAAAAAAAAUCCACGAGGCCAAGUCCCUGUGCGAUUGUUCGACAGUCAACAUGUUUUAUCUCUUGUUUACCAGUCCAAGGCUUGUUUCAGCGAGUAAUUCUCUACUAUCAAUCUUGGAAGAACUCAUGCUCAAUAAAAUCCUAUGAAAUUGGUCUAAAACUGGAUAGGGGAAUUCAAUGCAAACUGAUGCCACACACAGAAUUUCAGCUUUACUGUAAGAAAACUUUGUGGUACACCAAUUCAGUUCCAAGUGCAAGUACAUUAGUAAGGACAAAGAUGAUACUUCAACCAUUAUUGUUUAAGGGCAUGCCCCAAACACUGAGAACGGAUUACUUGGCAUAGUACAUUUGUUCCACGACAAAAUAUAUGAAUAACUUCUGACUGGCACUGCAGCAAUGGUUUGCUUAAUUUCCUUGUAAUGUCAACCUUGACAUCAUGUGUUCAGAUUU